CAGCAGCCGCGGUAAUACGGAGGGGGCUAGCGUUGUUCGGAAUUACUGGGCGUAAAGCGCACGUAGGCGGCUUUGUAAGUUAGAGGUGAAAGCCCGGGGCUCAACUCCGGAAUUGCCUUUAAGACUGCAUCGCUAGAAUUGUGGAGAGGUGAGUGGAAUUCCGAGUGUAGAGGUGAAAUUCGUAGAUAUUCGGAAGAACACCAGUGGCGAAGGCGACUCACUGGACACAUAUUGACGCUGAGGUGCGAAAGCGUGGGGAGCAAACAGG
rnacentral:rRNA from 1 species